rnacentral:tRNA from 1 species
GGGGACUUAGCUCAGUGGUAUAAGCACCUGCCUGGCAAGCAGGAGGUCGUGAGUUUGGUCCCUG